CCUACGGGAGGCAGCAGUGAGGAAUAUUGGUCAAUGGGCGAGAGCCUGAACCAGCCAAGUCGCGUGAGGGAGUACUGCCCUAUGGGUUGUAAACCUCUUUUGUCGGGGAGCAAAAGCCGGACGUGUCCGGCUGUGAGAGUACCCGCAGAAAAAGCAUCGGCUAACUCCGUGCCAGCAGCCGCGGUAAUACGGAGGAUGCGAGCGUUAUCCGGAUUUAUUGGGUUUAAAGGGUGCGCAGGCGGGUUUUUAAGUCAGCGGUAAAAUCGUGGGGCUCAACCCCAUCCAGCCGUUGAAACUGGGGAUCUAGAGUGCGCGAGAGGUACGCGGAAUGCGUGGUGUAGCGGUGAAAUGCAUAGAUAUCACGCAGAACCCCGAUUGCGAAGGCAGCAUACCGGUGCACAACUGACGCUCAGGCACGAAAGCGUGGGUAUCGAACAGGAUUAGAUACCCCUGUAGUC
rnacentral:rRNA from 1 species